AUUGAACGCUGGCGGCAGGCUUAACACAUGCAAGUCGAGCGGUAGCACAGGGGAGCUUGCUCCCUGGGUGACGAGCGGCGGACGGGUGAGUAAUGUCUGGGAAACUGCCUGAUGGAGGGGGAUAACUACUGGAAACGGUAGCUAAUACCGCAUAACGUCGCAAGACCAAAGAGGGGGACCUUCGGGCCUCUUGCCAUCAGAUGUGCCCAGAUGGGAUUAGCUAGUAGGUGGGGUAAUGGCUCACCUAGGCGACGAUCCCUAGCUGGUCUGAGAGGAUGACCAGCCACACUGGAACUGAGACACGGUCCAGACUCCUACGGGAGGCAGCAGUGGGGAAUAUUGCACAAGGGGCGCAAGCCUGAUGCAGCCAUGCCGCGUGUGUGAAGAAGGCCUUCGGGUUGUAAAGCACUUACAGCGAGGAGGAAGGUGGUGAGCUUAAUACGUUCAUCAAUUGACGUUACUCGCAGAAGAAGCACCGGCUAACUCCGU
rnacentral:rRNA from 1 species